UCAUCCACUUUAGCUCGCCUUUUAUAUACACGCGUGAGUGAAUGUAUGUUUGUUUGUUUGUUUCAUCUCUAAGUUCUUCUAAACACUCUUCCAUGAAAUGCUGAAAUGCUGCAGGUGCAUUCAUGACGCCAAAGAGAAUACGAACCCACUCAUAUAAGCCCCAUGGUGUACUGAAUGCUGUCAAUGGUCUGCUCUCUGGAGACAUAAAACCUUGAUGGUAAGCUUUGCCCUGAAACUGAAACUUUAUGCUCUACCUUAACUUCUUGUCUAGACGACAUUUGUCCUCUCUCCUCUAGGUCAGCACGGACUGCCCCUUCUAACCCCUGGUUAUCUGAUGUUCUUCGUGAACAUCGGACUAAACUCAGAGCGGCAGAGAGAAAAUGGCACAAAUCAAACAACCCGUCGGACCUGAAACAACAAACUGGACGCUAAACAGUCAGGUUUCAGGAGUGGCCAUUCAACUGAGACUGCGCUUCUCUCGGUCACUGAAGCCCUGCGAAUUGCAAAAGCCCAUUCCAAAUCAUCAGUCCUCAUUCUGCUGGAUCUAUCUGCCGCGUUUGACACUAUCAAUCAUCAGAUACUCCUCUCCACUCUCUCAUCACUGGGCAUCGCUGGAAUUCCACUUCGCUGGUUUGAAUCCUAUCUCACUGAUGAUCCAACGGUAGCUGCAAGGAUCUCAGGUUGCCUGUCAGACAUCUCGGCAUGGAUGAAAGAACAUCACCUCCAGCUCAACCUGGCAAAGACUGAGCUUCUUGUCUUUCCUGCCGCUCCAACUCUACAGCAUGACAUCACGAUCCAGUUAGGUUCAUCAACAAUUACCCCAUCAACUUCGGUCAGAAAUCUUGGUGUAAUCUUUGAUGACCAGCUGACCUUCAAAGACCACAUUGCAAAGACUGCUCGAUCUUGCAGGUUUGCACUACACAACAUCAGAAAGAUCAGGCCCUUUCUGACGGAGCAUGCUGCACAACUUCUUGUCCAGGCCCUUGUCAUUUCUAGGCUGGACUACUGCAAUGCUCUUCUGGCUGGACUUCCAUCAAACACAGUCAAACCUCUACAAAUGAUUCAGAAUGCGGCACGACUGGUCUUCAAGGAACCCAAAAGAGCCCAUGUUACACCUCUCUUUAUCUCAUUGCAUUGGCUACCAAUCGCAGCUCGCAUCAAGUUCAAGACACUGAUGCUUGCUCAUAGAACAACCACAGGCUCAGCACCCGCCUACAUGCACUCACUAUUAAGAAUCUACAUCCCCUCCAGAAAUCUGAGAUCUGCUAGUGAGCGACGCCUCGUGGUACCAUCACAAAGAGGCUCAAAAUCACUCUCCAGAACAUUCUCGUUCACCAUUCCUGGCUGGUGGAAUGAUCUUCCCACCCAUAUUCGGAGUACUGGAUCCCUGUCAAUCUUCAAGCAACAGCUGAAAACUCAUCUCUUUCGACACUACUUGACUUCA